GCCGGAGUGGCGGAACUGGUAGACGCGCUGGAUUCAAAAUCCUGUAUCCGCAAGGGUGUGUGGGUUCGAGUCCCACCUCCGGCACCA
rnacentral:tRNA from 3 species